rnacentral:lncRNA from 1 species
GCCCUGGGAGGAGUCUCAGCCCCUUCCCUCUGCAGACAAGGGGAACAGCCCGGAGGAAGCUCGCCUGAGAAUAAAAUGCUUCUUAGAGGAGAUAGCUCCCAGCACCCCUCAGUGUUCCUGUGACCAGAGCAGGUCUUAGACGUGAUCGCCCAGUGGUCUCAUCAUAAGCAAAGCGACGCUCUUAUCUUACCCGACCCGAGCCUGCCUACUGCAGCCUACACAUUCCUGCAGACAUG